rnacentral:rRNA from 1 species
AGUGAACGCUGGCGGUAGGCCUAACACAUGCAAGUCGAACGGCAGCACAGUAAGAGCUUGCUCUUACGGGUGGCGAGUGGCGGACGGGUGAGGAAUACAUCGGAAUCUACUUUUUCGUGGGGGAUAACGUAGGGAAACUUACGCUAAUACCGCAUACGACCUACGGGUGAAAGCAGGAGAUCUUCGCACCUUGCGCGAUUGAAUGAGCCGAUGUCGGAUUAGCUAGUUGGCGGGGUAAAGGCCCACCAAGGCGACGAUCCGUAGCUGGUCUGAGAGGAUGAUCAGCCACACUGGAACUGAGACACGGUCCAGACUCCUACGGGAGGCAGCAGUGGGGAAUAUUGGACAAAGGGCGCAAGCCUGAUCCAGCCAUGCCGCGUGGGUGAAGAAGGCCUUCGGGUUGUAAAGCCCUGUUGUUGGGAAAGAAAAGCAGCAGGUUAAUCCCCCGCUGUCCUGACGGUACCCAAAGAAUAAGCACCGGCUAACUUCGUG